rnacentral:rRNA from 1 species
UACGUAGGGUGCGAGCGUUGUCCGGAAUUAUUGGGCGUAAAGGGCUCGUAGGCGGUUUGUCGCGUCGGGAGUGAAAACUCAGGGCUUAACCCUGAGCCUGCCCGUCAUACGGGCAGACUAGAGGUAUGCAGGGGAGAACGGAAUUCCUGGUGUAGCGGUGAAAUGCGCAGAUAUCAGGAGGAACACCGGUGGCGAAGGCGGUUCUCUGGGCAUUACCUGACGCUGAGGAGCGAAAGUGUGGGGAGCGAACAGG